AACCAUGCGGGUGCUACACAUGCAGUCGACGAUGAAGCCUUUCGGGGUGGAUUAGUGGCGAACGGGUGAGUAACACGUGGGCAAUCUGCCCUUCACUCUGGGACAAGCCCUGGAAACGGGGUCUAAUACCGGAUACGACCUGCCUCCGCAUGGGGGUGGGUGGAAAGCUCCGGCGGUGAAGGAUGAGCCCGCGGCCUAUCAGCUUGUUGGUGGGGUAAUGGCCUACCAAGGCGACGACGGGUAGCCGGCCUGAGAGGGCGACCGGCCACACUGGGACUGAGACACGGCCCAGACUCCUACGGGAGGCAGCAGUGGGGAAUAUUGCACAAUGGGCGAAAGCCUGAUGCAGCGACGCCGGGUGAGAGAUGGCGGCCUUCAAGUUCUUAACCUCUUCCAACGGGGAAGAUUCAAGAGGUGCGGUGCAUGAAAAACCC
rnacentral:rRNA from 1 species